AGUAAAUGUAACAUGCAGAAUCUUUUCGUUACUUUUACACAAUUCAUAAUAUUACAAAACGUGUUAAUGGACUAUAUAAUUUUUGCUCUUAAAAUGCAAAAGACGUCCGUCACGCUUCGCAGGUGUUUGUUGCAUCGCACUUUCACGAAACGUGGAAAAGAAAAUUGUAGCUUACGUCACGAUUACUCGGAAGAUAACAUUAAAAAGAAAAAAAAAUUUACUGAAAUCCACCAGAUUCCGAGAACUUGCAAAGAGAUAUAUAUAUUUGCAGGUGGUAAUUAUAAUAGAUGCCGUCCUAAUUUUUAAUCAGGCUACUUGUGAAGAUUGUGCUAAUGUGUCUGAAUGAUAGUGAAAUUUUAUACGAUCAUUUUUUACAAAUAAC
rnacentral:lncRNA from 1 species